AGCGUACACGGUGGAUGCCUUGGCAGUCAGAGGCGAUGAAAGACGUAGUAACUUGCGAUAAGCCCAGAUUAGGUAGUAACAACCAUUUGAGUCUGGGAUUUCUGAAUGGGGAAACCCACGUGCAUAAGCACGUAUCCUUACCUGAAUACAUAGGGUAAGGAGGCGAACCGGGGGAACUGAAACAUCUAAGUACCCCGAGGAAAAGAAAUCAACCGAGAUUCCGAAAGUAGCGGCGAGCGAAAUUGGACUAGCCCUUAAGCUUUACACGCGUUAGACGAACGGUCUGGAAAGUCCGACGAUACAGGGUGAUAGUCCCGUAGUUGACGACGUGUGUUCAGUGAAAUCGAGUAGGGCGGGACACGUGAUAUCCUGUCUGAAUAUGGGGGGACCAUCCUCCAAGGCUAAAUACUACUGACUGACCGAUAGUGAACCAGUACCGUGAGGGAAAGGCGAAAAGAACCCCUGUGAGGGGAGUGAAAUAGAACCUGAAACCGUGUACGUACAAGCAGUAGGAGCACCUUCGUGGUGUGACUGCGUACCUUUUGUAUAAUGGGUCAGCGACUUAUAUUCAGUGGCAAGGUUAACCAUCUAGGGGAGCCGUAGGGAAACCGAGUCUUAACUGGGCGUUCAGUCUCUGGAUAUAGACCCGAAACCAGGUGAUCUAGCCAUGGGCAGGUUGAAGGUUGAGUAACAUCAACUGGAGGACCGAACCGACUAAUGUUGAAAAAUUAGCGGAUGACUUGUGGCUAGGGGUGAAAGGCCAAUCAAACCUGGAGAUAGCUGGUUCUCCCCGAAAGCUAUUUAGGUAGCGCCUCGGACGAAUACUACUGGGGGUAGAGCACUGUUAAGGCUAGGGGGUCAUCCCGACUUACCAACCCUUUGCAAACUCCGAAUACCAGUAAGUACUAUCCGGGAGACACACGGCGGGUGCUAACGUCCGUCGUGGAGAGGGAAACAACCCAGACCGCCAGCUAAGGUCCCAAAUUACUACUAAGUGGGAAACGAUGUGGGAAGGCUCAGACAGCCAGGAUGUUGGCUUAGAAGCAGCCAUCAUUUAAAGAAAGCGUAAUAGCUCACUGGUCGAGUCGGCCUGCGCGGAAGAUGUAACGGGGCUAAGUAGUAAACCGAAGCUGCGGCAAUAUACUUUUGUAUAUUGGGUAGGGGAGCGUUCUGUAAGCGGUUGAAGGUGUGUGGUAACGCAUGCUGGACGUAUCAGAAGUGCGAAUGCUGACAUGAGUAACGAUAAAGGGGGUGAAAAACCUCCUCGCCGGAAGACCAAGGGUUCCUGUCCAACGUUAAUCGGGGCAGGGUAAGUCGACCCCUAAGGCGAGGCCGAAAGGCGUAGUCGAUGGGAAACGGGUUAAUAUUCCCGUACUUCUUACAAUUGCGAUGGGGGGACGGAGAAGGCUAGGUGGGCCUGGCGACGGUUGUCCAGGUUCAAGUGCGUAGGCUUAAGAGUUAGGUAAAUCCGGCUCUUUCUAAGGCUGAGACACGACGUCGAGCACCUACGGGUGUGAAGUCAUUGAUGCCAUGCUUCCAGGAAAAGCCUCUAAGCUUCAGAUUGUAAGGAAUCGUACCCCAAACCGACACAGGUGGUCGGGUAGAGAAUACCAAGGCGCUUGAGAGAACUCGGGUGAAGGAACUAGGCAAAAUGGUACCGUAACUUCGGGAGAAGGUACGCUCUCGACGGUGAAGUCCCUCGCGGAUGGAGCUAUUGAGAGUCGCAGAUACCAGGUGGCUGCAACUGUUUAUUAAAAACACAGCACUGUGCAAAAUCGUAAGAUGACGUAUACGGUGUGACGCCUGCCCGGUGCCGGAAGGUUAAUUGAUGGGGUUAGACUUCGGUCGAAGCUCUUGAUCGAAGCCCCGGUAAACGGCGGCCGUAACUAUAACGGUCCUAAGGUAGCGAAAUUCCUUGUCGGGUAAGUUCCGACCUGCACGAAUGGCGUAAUGAUGGCCACGCUGUCUCCACCCGAGACUCAGUGAAAUUGAAAUCGCUGUGAAGAUGCAGUGUACCCGCGGCUAGACGGAAAGACCCCGUGAACCUUUACUACAGCUUGGCACUGAACAUUGACCCUACAUGUGUAGGAUAGGUGGGAGGCUUUGAAGCACGUACGCCAGUAUGUGUGGAGCCGUCCUUGAAAUACCACCCUUGUAGUGUUGAUGUUCUAACGUCGACCCCUAAUCGGGGUUGCGGACAGUGCCUGGUGGGUAGUUUGACUGGGGCGGUCUCCUCCCAAAGAGUAACGGAGGAGCACGAAGGUGGGCUAAUCACGGUUGGACAUCGUGAGGUUAGUGCAAUGGCAUAAGCCCGCUUGACUGCGAGAAUGACAAUUCGAGCAGGUGCGAAAGCAGGUCAUAGUGAUCCGGUGGUUCUGAAUGGAAGGGCCAUCGCUCAACGGAUAAAAGGUACUCCGGGGAUAACAGGCUGAUACCGCCCAAGAGUUCAUAUCGACGGCGGUGUUUGGCACCUCGAUGUCGGCUCAUCACAUCCUGGGGCUGAAGUCGGUCCCAAGGGUAUGGCUGUUCGCCAUUUAAAGUGGUACGCGAGCUGGGUUUAGAACGUCGUGAGACAGUUCGGUCCCUAUCUGCCGUGGGCGUUGGAAGAUUGAAGGGGGCUGCUCCUAGUACGAGAGGACCGGAGUGGACGAACCUCUGGUGUUCGGGUUGUGUCGCCAGACGCAUUGCCCGGUAGCUAAGUUCGGAAUCGAUAACCGCUGAAAGCAUCUAAGCGGGAAGCGAGCCCUGAGAUGAGUCUUCCCUGAUACUUUAAGUAUCCUAAAGGGUUGU
rnacentral:rRNA from 1 species